rnacentral:rRNA from 1 species
AUGGGAGAUUUUAAUGAUAUACUUUAUGAUGCUGAUAGAAGUUCUCCCUUUGUGAAUUACUCUCGUUUGCAUGCCUUUUGUUGUAUUGUGAAAAAGUGUGGUCUGAUUGACUUAGGAUAUAGUGGCCCUGCUUAUACUUGGACAAACAAGAGGUAUGCUUCUAAUCCGACCAUGGAAAUACUUGAUAGAUGUCUGGUUAACACUGAAUGGUGUACGAUAUUUCCCAACUCUGUUUACAAUUUGCCUAUCAUUCUUAGUGAUCAUGCUCCUAUUCUACUCUCUACUGAUGCCCAUAUGCGCAAACCUAGAAGAAAUUUUAAAUUUGAAAAUUGGUGGCUUAUGGAGAAUGAUUUUCAUGAAUAUGCAAAAAAUGUCUGGAUUGCUUCUAGAAAUAAAGCUUUCCACAAUAGGAAAACUAACCUUGCAGGAUCUUUGAGAACAUGGUGCGGAAAGAAAAAACCAAUUCAAUAG